rnacentral:rRNA from 1 species
CCUACGGGAGGCAGCAGUGGGGAAUAUUGCACAAUGGGCGAAAGUCUGAUGCAGCAACGCCGCGUGAGCGAUGAAGGCCUUCGGGUUGUAAAGCUCUGUCCUCAAGGAAGAUAAUGACGGUACUUGAGGAGGAAGCCCCGGCUAACUACGUGCCAGCAGCCGCGGUAAUACGUAGGGGGCUAGCGUUAUCCGGAUUUACUGGGCGUAACGGGUGCGUAGGUGGUUUCUUAAGUCAGAGGUGAAAGGCUACGGCUCAACCGUAGUAAGCCUUUGAAACUGGGGAACUUGAGUGCAGGAGAGGAGGGUGGAAUUCCUAGUGUAGCGGUGAAAUGCGUAGAUAUUAGGAGGAACACCAGUUGCGAAGGCGGCUUACUGGACUGUAACUGACGCUGAGGCACGAAAGCGUGGGGAGCAAACAGGAUUAGAUACCCUUGUAGUC